AUGGUGAUGGAGGUGGUAACCGGUGUCAUGGGAAGACUACUUCCCAAGCUGGUCGAGCUGGUCGCGGGUGAGUACAAGCUACAGAAGGGCGUCAAGGAAGACGUUGAGUCCCUUAAGAAAGAGAUGGAGAGCAUGCACACUGCCCUUACAGAGGUGGCGGAGGUGCCAAGGGACAGCCUUAAUCGGCAGGUCAAGAUCUGGGCAGAUGAACUGAGGGAGCUGUCGUACGACAUGGAGGAUGUCGUUGACAACUUUCUGCUGUACGUCGAGGGAUCUGAUCCAGCAGCCAACUCGAACAAGCUCAAAUGCCUAAUGGAGAUGAUGACCGGCUAUUUCACCAAAGCCAGCGGCCGCCAUCAGAUCGCCAAUGACAUUAAGGCUCUCAAGAAACUUGCCGAAGAGGUGGCUGCCCGGCGUGCCAGAUGCCAAGUCGGCGGUGUUGUUGUCAAUCCAGCUAACAAAUCCAAGGUUGACCCUCGUAUGCUGGCUUUGUACAAGGAUCAGCAAGAGCUCGUUGGCAUUGAAGCCGCUCGGAUUGAGCUAACCAAGAGGCCGGCACUUGGUGAUGGGAAUGUGUCAAAUCAGCAGCUCAAGAUAGUCUCUAUUGUCGGACCUGGAGGACUCGGCAAGACAACUCUUGCCAAGGCAGUGUACGACAGUCUUGAAACGCAAUAUGUUCACAAAGCUUUUGUUCCGGUGGGUCGAAAUCCUGAAGUGAGCAAAGUUCUCAAGGACAUCCUCUUGGAACUGCGCGUGCGUACCAGCGAUGUAGCCACACUGGAUGAAAGACAACUUGUCGAAAAACUCCGAGAACAACUUCAGAAUGUCAGGUUCGAAGGGUGUCCACCUCAAUCAUGGCGAGUAAUCAAAUGUGCUUUGUUUGAUAACAAUCAUGGAAGUCGAGUAAUCACAACUACUCGCAAUCAGGAAGUCGCAGAAAACACCGGUGAUGUCUACAAGCUAAAACCACUUUCUCAUGAUUUGUCUGAAGAACUAUUCAAUAAAAGAUUAUUUGGUGGUAAAGAAAAUUGGCAGACUUCCGAGGUAUCAAAAAAAUUUCUACAGAAAUGUGGUGGUGUGCCGCUCGCUAUCAUUGCAAUAGCUAGUUUCCUGGUUGGUAAACCUGUGGAGGGUUGGUCAACGGUAUACAACUCUAUUGGUUUCAGACAUACAGAUAACACACAUAUUGAUAACAUGAGAAAGAUAUUAUUAUUUAGCUAUGAUGAUCUACCUUGUUAUCUAAGGCCUUGUGUAUUGCAUCUGAGCAUAUUUCCAGAGGACGCUUUCAUCAUGAAAGAGACAUUGAUAUGGAUGUGGGUAGCCGAAGGCUUUGUCAGUGAAGAGCCAGGGAAACGGUUAUUUGAGAUUGGAGAAGGAUACUUUGGUGAACUUGUAAAUAGAAGCCUGAUCCUUCCUGUAGAGCACAAAGAAGAGAAUGUCAUAUAUGGUUGCCGUGUUCACGAUAUGGUACUUGAUACAAUUUGUUGGUUGUCAGAGAAAGAAAAUUUUGUUACCAUAGUGGAUAAUAAUGGGAAAUACUCAACUUCAGAAAGCAAUAAUGUUCGUAGGUUAGCUGUCCAAACAAGAGAUGAAGAGCAGCACAACCAUUUUGCCAACACAAGCAUGCCAAAAUUGAGGUCAUGUUAUGCCAGCAGGUGUCAUAAAAGUAUGAUGCCACCACUUUCAAGCUUUCAAGUGCUGCAUGUUCUAGACUUGGAAAACUGCGUAUUUCUGGAAAACUGUCAUCUUAAGCAUCUUGGAAGGUUACAUCUGUUGAGAUACUUGAGUCUGGAGAACACAAGUAUUAGUGAGCUCCCAAAAGAUAUAGGAGAAUUAAAGUUUCUGCAGACACUAGACUUGAGGAACUCCGAGAUAAAAGAAUUGCCACAGGGCAAUAGUUUGCUAAGGAAGCUGAAGCGCCUGCGAGUUGACAGGGACCGCCGGAGCGCUGGUACCAGGGAAGAUGUAGGUAUAAAAGUGCCGAAAUGGAUAGGGAACCUGACAUCCCUGGAAGAGUUAUAUUUGAGUAUAACUGGUGAAUUUUCUACCUUCGUUGAAGAACUCGGUAAGCUGAAAGAGCUGAGGGUGCUGGUCUGUCAUUUAAUGGGAGAUUUGAAUGAGAAGAAAACUUUGGCGGAUUCAUUAAGCGAGCUUGGGAAACUCCAAAUCUUACAUCUUGAGGGCCUGUAUGGGUGGUCGAAAUCGGAGGCAGACACCUACUGGAAAGACUAUAAGCCCCCUCAGCAGCUAGGUGAUCUGUCCAUAUCGACCAGGUUCAGUAGGCUCCCGCCGUGGAUUAAGUCCUCUCUGCUUCCGAACCUCUCCAAACUAAAAAUUGAUGUAUAUCCUAUGAAGAAGCAGGAUGUGAUAAACCUUGGGGGGUUGCCAGAGCUUGUUAAAUUGGAUGAUCUGUGGAUACCGGCAGGCAUGGAGUUUGCUGAUGGUGUGUUCCCCAAGUUGAGGAGCUGCGGGAUAAAUGCACCUUUCUGGUUUCUGCCGGGAAGUAUGAAGAACCUUGAAUCCAUUACGGUGGGCACAAUGCGGAACUUGACGGAGAAGGAUGCCGUCACUGAUUUUGACUUUACUUGUACCCUGAGGAACCUCCCUUUGCUUGUGGUGGUCUUCGCUAAUGUGGAGAAGAUGGAGGCAGCGUUGAGCGGAGCAAUCCACAACCAUCCCAACCGAAAAGAACCAGCCUCCCCUCUGCAUCGUGCUGCCAGUGUUGGUACGUCUACUCAGAUAAUCGUGGAAGACGAGGAGGACGAAGGAUCGAGCUCCCAACGAGGAGGAAGAAGAAGAAUCUCAGGCAGAUCAACAGGAACAGCUGGCAGAGGAACACAAAGAAGCCGAGGUCGGGUCAGCAGAGACGACUCCACCAGAGACCCAGAACACAGUCGACGUCGCUAG
rnacentral:rRNA from 1 species